CCCGGACUCUUCAGAAAACAAAACUUACACUUUGUCAUGGAGCAGCUAGAAAUUCACCUCAACAUACUCAAUAAUUCAGCAUGUUUGAGCACAUAUUCCAUGCCAGGCACAGUGCUGGAACAGGGACAGCUGGAACAAAGUGGGAGACCCUCUAGCCACCAGGAUCCCAGAGAAGAAGCGAAGUGACUUGCCUAGAACACCAACCAAAAAUGACGGAGCCAAAAGGUGAGCUCCUAUUUCCUGUUUCUCGUUACCAUCCACUGUAUCCCACCUUCUCCCAGGGAAUUAUUUUACAACAUAGGAAACAUGUUUGCUUAGGAAAUCUCAAAAUUAAAGGCAGGAGCAAGAAAAUGUCCAGCCACUGUGCUAUGAUUUCUGAGCCAGUGAGGGCUGACCAUCACUGUGGGGAGAGCCCAGUGUUCUUGGUCCAGACCCUUUCUUUUGUCACUGGACGCAAGUGGACCUGUUUCCCCAUUUUCUCUGCAAAACCAUCUCCUACUCAAAUUCAUUCAUAGCCCUAGAAUCAGGCAGCCUCCUCUACCUGCUCGUCUCUUAAAUGUGAACAACCAUUAAGAAAUGCAGGAAGGAAAUCUGGUGGAUCCAUUUCCAUAGCCCUUAAUCCCUCUGUUCGUCCUUCCUUGUAUCAAUAUCACUUCCCCAUUCUCCAUUGCCUCCCCCCAGCUAAAGGAAAUCUGACAAAGCAAUGAGUCUAUAGUGGAAGAAAUUAUUAGCCUCAGGUGGACAUCAUUUGGAUCCAACCUACAUCACCUACUGGCUGUAGGACCAUGAGCAAGUUAUUUAAGCUCUCUGUCCCAGUGUCUUCAUUCACAAAUUGAAAUGGACCAUGCCCACCCCUCGGGGGGUUUGUGACAGUUAAGCGAAAUAACACAUAAAUGGCGCUCAAUACAUACGUGUAGCAUGUAAGUAGAACUCAAUAAAGACUCAUUCCUUUAGUUGACAGCUUAUUCAAAUCUAUCAUAGUUUUUGUUGUUGUUGUUGUUGUUGCUCUUGCUUUGUUUUGUUUUUUAAACCACAGGGCCAGAGCUGGGUCAAGGAGGAAGGAGGAGAAGGAAGAGCAUCCUUUAGCCGCCCUCUGACUCUGCCUUUUCGGGUCUCGCUCCUGGCCUCACUGUAGACAUCAUCCCCAGGCACACCUCCUCCGCACCUCCUUCCUGCUAUAGAGUACAGUCCCACAGUUGGAAUCAUCUCUCCUCAUCCCAGUUACAAAGCCAGAGAGGAUUUACAGUCAAAGCAUCUACACCAGCAGUCCCUCUUACUGACACUGAUCAGACAGGGAGGUAGAACUGAUGGAAAACACAGCACAGCAUCAGAAGCAUAGCUUGGGAGCUUAUUAGCAGCAAAGUGCUGUUCUCUGCGGCAUUUUCUGGUGCUCCAGAAAUACAUCCCCUUGGAUGGAGAUACUACCGGGCCAUCUAAUGUGAAAUUUUCUGCUGGAGUGGUUAACGCUGGAGAUUUCCUUGAAAAACAUCGCCACUGAGAGAGGCUGGCUUCAAGUUUCAUAUAUAUGUAUAUGUAUCUGUGUGUGUGUGUGUGUAUGUGUGUGUCCAUGUGUGUGUAUAUAUAUUUUUAUAUAUAAAUACAUGUGUAUUUAUAUAUAUAAAUAAAUUUAUAAUGUAAUAUAUAAAUAUUUAUAUAUAAAUAA
rnacentral:lncRNA from 1 species